UUUAUUUAUUUAUUUAUUUAUUUAUUUAUUUUUAUUUUUUUUAAUUGCUCUACAACUAAGACACAAACUGCUAGUUUAUUCCUUCCCUUUCCUCUUUUACUAUGUUUUAUUUUACUUUUUUAAUGUUCUGUCAGAAAAUCCAAACAGUUUUCAGCAUCCUGUGGUCCCAUCAUUAGAUUAUAUUGUCCAUUUGGCAUGAUAACAGACCUGUUGUUCAGCUAAACACUGUGUUCCUUAUGUGUUUGUGCAAUUCUUAGCCUUAGUCUAGCAACAUUAAAAUUUUUGUCUCAUUGAGUGAUCCUGAAGGGAUUGAAUAAUGUUUAAAUGCAACUCUAUUUUUAUAGACCGCUAUAAAGAGGGCAGGAGGAAAGCCAAAGAGGGCAUGACCUGGAAGUGUCUGAGCAAAAACCACCAAGGAGGAAUGUCUGGAUUGGCCCCUGUGGAGGUCAGGAGCAUUGUUUGGGGACCACCCAAACACAUUCUUACACCUGCCCCCACUGUUAACUUCCCCACAUUCACCCCAAACGGCACUUUCACCCUUGUUGCCCCCACCACUUUACCAGCAGCACAUGGCUCAUUCACAGAGAUGCUGCAGAACUGGCAGCCGAUGGACGAUAUGCAAUUGCUGCCAGGCUGUUAGACAUUACGAGGAGCCCCCCAGCAAUCAUGAGAACCAGGUAAACUGGUUGGCGCUUAUUGAUGGGGUAGAUGUGCGCAACUGCACCUGGUGCAUAUUGAAGAGGGUAAUUGCUAACUCCCUGGCAAAGAACCUCAACUGGAGGGAGUCAAUGGAAAGACUUCACUGGCAACUCUCCAACUCUGAGAGGUCACGAUUGCUGCAGUUCAUAGAAACCUUUCAUGGCUAAUGCUGCUGCGAUGGAGUUUGAGGGGACCAUGAAGAGGUUGCUCCAGCUGGCAUCAGAUCGCAAGUGUGGGCACAAGUGAAGACUUUUGCAAAAGGAAGGUGUUUAGAGUGUUUUAACUGUGGUGUGUUUUUGUGCUACUUGUUAAAAUGUUCAUAUUAUUGUCUGUUUUUAAUUGCUUAUAAAAGUGUGUGUGUGUGUGUGUGUGUGUGGAAGUUUACAUACCCGUUGCAGAAUCUACAAAAUAAGAUUGAUCAAAAAAUCCCAUGUUUUUAUUUAAUAUCUCCAUGAAUUAAGCUAUUUCACAUAACAUGUUUACAUAUAGUCCACAAGACAAUAGCUGAAUUCAUAAAAAAUUACCCUGUUUAAAAGUUUACAUACUCUUGGUUCUUUAUACUGUGUGUUACCUGGAUGAUCAACGACUGUUUUUAUGUUUUGUGAUCGCUGUUCAUGAGUCCCUUGUUUGUCCUGAGCAGUUAAACUGCCCACUGUUCUUCAGAAAAAUCCAGCAGGUCCUGCAAAUCGUUGCUUUUUCAGCAUCUUCUGCAUAUUUGAGCCCU
ensembl:lncRNA